GGGUCAGUAGGUUGGUCGUGCCACCGGUACGUACUGGUCUCACUGAUUCCUCCUUCCUGAAGAACCUUAAUGCCAUUAAUUUGGUGUUGCGGGGAAACAGGACUGUUACUUUGAAAAAAUUAGAGUUUUUAAAGCUAGCUAACGCUUGAAUACAUUAGCAUGGAAUAAUGAAAUAGGACGAUCGAUCCUAUUUUGUCGGUUUCUAGGAUUGACGUA
rnacentral:rRNA from 1 species